rnacentral:misc_RNA from 1 species
CCUAGAGUUGUAGGCUUUGCCUACCAUCUCUUACCCAUGUCUUUUGAGUACUUACGUUUCCUCGGUGGGUUCGCCCGCCGAUUGGACAAUUUAAACCAUUUGCAGUUGCAAUCAGCGUCUGAAAAACAUAAUAGUUA